rnacentral:pre_miRNA from 1 species
AAAAAGACAAACCUUGGGUUUCCGUGUCCAACUUUGACUGUCCGUCUCAUAUGAAAUUUUUUUAUAAUUCGUAUUUUCGUUGUUGUUAGAUGAUAAAAUAUGAUUAAUAUUUUAUGCGUGACUUGUCUUUUUAAUUUUUUUCAUAUUUUUUUCAAAUAAGACGGACGGUCAAACGUUGGGCAUGAUAACU